UACGGAGGAUGCAAGCGUUAUCCGGAAUGAUUGGGCGUAAAGCGUCCGCAGGUGGCAAUGUAAGUCUGCUGUCAAAGCGUCUGGCUCAACCAGAUAAAGGCAGUGGAAACUACAUAGCUAGAGUAAGGUAGGGGUAGAGGGAAUUCCUGGUGUAGCGGUGAAAUGCGUAGAGAUCGGGAGGAACACCGGCGGCGAAGGCGGGGUCCUGGACCUGGCCUGACGCUCAGGAGCGAAAGCGUGGGGAGCGAGCCGG
rnacentral:rRNA from 1 species